rnacentral:rRNA from 1 species
UACGUAGGGUGCAAGCGUUAAUCGGAAUUACUGGGCGUAAAGCGUGCGCAGGCGGCUUUGCAAGACAGAUGUGAAAUCCCCGGGCUUAACCUGGGAACUGCAUUUGUGACUGCAUUGCUAGAGUAUGGGAGAGGGAAGUGGAAUUUCCGGUGUAGCGGUGAAAUGCGUAGAUAUCGGAAGGAACAUCAGUGGCGAAAGCGACUUCCUGGACCAAUACUGACGCUCAUGUGCGAAAGCGUGGGGAGCAAACAGG